GGGCCGGUAGCUUAGUCGGCAGAGCAGGGGACUCUUAAUCCCAAGGUCGAAGGUUCGAAUCCUUCUCGGCCCACCA
rnacentral:tRNA from 1 species